UGUAUUUACACUCCAGUCACAGCCACCAUCUUAAAACACGUCUGUCAGAAGUAUCUGUGUCCUCAGUUUGAAGAAGAAAAGCCUACAUUAUCUGGGUUGAGAAGGUCCUAUGAGACUGUGUCCCCAUGUGUCCAACCCCAGCUUCCUGUGGUUGCAGAACAAGUCCCAGCCACAGGGAUAGGCUCCUAUCUCUGGGUUAUAACACCUUGGAACCUCUGCACUGUCUGUCAGGAUGCCCUCCCAGCACCAGUUCUGCAUGGUCACUGUCUUAGUUACUAUUCUAUUGCUGGGAAGACACUAUGACCAAGGCAUGUUGUGGUUUUUGGGUCUCUACCCUGGCUGUUUUAGAGUUCUCUAUGUAGACCAGGCUGGCCUUGAACUCUUAGAGAUGAACUUGCUUCUGCCAACUUAGCACUGGGUCUAAAGGUAUGCAUCACUAUGCCUGGUUUAAACUGAGAACUUAUAUCUUACAUCUUGUUCUGUGCAAUGGGAGACUGAGACUGGAUCUGGGUGGAUCCAUUCCUUGUCCCCAAUGCUUGCAGCCAUAUCAUAAUGCAAAACGCAUUCAGUCUAACUUUAACAGUCUCCAUAGUCUAUCAAACCUCAAAACCCACACCUGGUGACAAUGUGGGGAUGUGGCAGCCAGCCCUAACCUGAUGGCACUGUGUUAUUGCUUACCUAAAAAUAAAGUGCUCUGUCCCAGACAUUA
rnacentral:lncRNA from 1 species